rnacentral:rRNA from 1 species
GACGAACGCUGGCGGCGUGCCUAACACAUGCAAGUCGGGCGAACAGACGCCGUGCUUUCUGCUCGGUCGGGAUGGGUGGCCAGCUGGGGAAUAACACGUGAGUAACCUGCUCCCUCCUGGUGGAUUACGGCAAGCAGGAGUGACUAACACAGGAUAUAUUGAAUCUGUCGCAUGAUGGGUCUGGGACAGUUUUUGUUUCGGUGGGGGAUGGGCUCGCGCCGCAUUAGCUAGUUGGUGAGGUAACGGCUUACCAAGGCAGCGAUGCGUAGCCGGCCUGAGAGGGUGGUCGGCGACACUGGAGGGGAGACACGGUCCCGACUCCUACGAGAGGCAGCAGUAGGGAAUCUUACGGAAUGGGCGGAAGCAGGCCGGAGCAGCGCCGCGUGAGGGAUGAAGGUGUCCGGCUCGUAGAGAUCUGUUUUCGGGGGUGAACAAGUGUGUAAGUAUCUGUGCGCGUGUUGACGGUACCUGGUCAGAAAGCGACGGCUAACUACGUG